CAUGCACAUUGUUAGAGAUUAAAGUUGAGGCUGCUGGCUGGCCAGUGAGCUCAAAAGCAUAGGUGGGGUGCUAUCUAUGUGAGGGGCAAGUCUAACACCACAAGGGUCUCUGGCCCAGUGAGUGUAGUUUGAAAGUAAUUCUUGCUACAGGU
ensembl:snoRNA SNORA62 Small nucleolar RNA SNORA62/SNORA6 family